rnacentral:rRNA from 1 species
UACGUAGGCAGCGAGCGUUGUUCGGAGUUACUGGGCGUAAAGAGUGCGUAGGCGGUUUUCUAAGUUUGGUGUGAAAUCUCCCGGCUUAACUGGGAGGGUGCGCCGAAAACUGGAAGGCUUGAGUAUGGGAGAGGUAAGCGGAAUCCUGGUGUAGCGGUGAAAUGCGUAGAUAUCAGGAGGAACACCUGCGGUGUAGACGGCUUACUGGACCAUAACUGACGCUGAGGCACGAAAGCGUGGGUAGCAAACAGG